UCGAUUGAAGCCCUUACCUCUCUCAAAUCCUCUGCAACAUUCAACCGUGUUCUUCAUCCUGAAGAACACGACAGCCCCCAAGCCCAGAAAACAACCACAUACCGCCUUGCCGGCCGCCUUUGAUCGGCGCCUACCGCCUGUCACUGGCGGAGAAACCUUAAAAAAAUUGCUUUUCCGAAAGCCCAUAACACCCUCGUCACGAAAAUCAUCAUAGUUUUUUAAAAUAUGCCUCGUAGGGGUGUAGAUCUAAAAAAGAGAUUUCAAACACCCCCAUUUUCGGUCAUCGACGUUUGGGUUUUAAUCAAAGAAAUCAGAGAGCAAAGUCGAAGCAUGCAAAGUGAAAAGUAACCAUAACAAAGUCACGUUCGCUGGACGGUUCGGGAUUGAUCGAGAAACGCGAUUGGCUGAGGGGUCUUCAAAAAUGGCACUGGAAUGGGAAAAGAAUGCUAGGGUUUCAAACCCUAGCUGGACCGGUUCAGGUUUGGACCCCCUACUAGAUACGGUUCGGGUGUUAAGCGGGUCAUGUGCAAUUGCUGGGUCACCCACUUUUUGGGUCUUGGUUGGGCCAUAUGCAAAUGUUUGUAACAAGUUCGGGCCGAAUGUAAUGGACUUGCAAGUGUAAAAUAAACAUAUGAAUGUAAAUAAAAUUAUACUAUAUAAUAUAAUUAAAAUUAUAUUA